rnacentral:lncRNA from 1 species
UUUUUUUUAAAAAAACUACAUAUAUAUAUAUAUAUAUAGAGAGAGAGAGAGAGAGAGAGAGAGAGUGUUGAGCUAGAAUACUAUCGGUAGUAAACGAGCCGUUUUACUACCAAUUUGUUUUCGAUGAUAGAGCUUUCAAAUUGACGAUCGGCUCCGUUAAAUAUGAUCUAAACCAUUUAAACUACCUAGAAAUCAAAUUUCACGCACUUUCGAUAUUGUUCUUUUAUCCAUCAAGUGAAUAGAAAAAUGAAUGGCUGAAAAUGAAUACUCUUUAAAAAAUGAUGAUAGGAGUCUUGUAAUCAAGAUCAAGAGUAUAGAUCUUGUUUUAAAUAGUUUAAAGAAUUUUUAAACAAAAAUUCAAUUGAUUUGGAUAUCUUUACGCCGUUAAACGAGAAAACGCCUCUUAUUGACCAUUAAAAUUACAAAUUUUGAAACUCUUUGAUCAUUAGGCAAAUGAUGUCGAAAAGAUUUGAAAUUUGAUUUCUAAACAUUUCAAGUGGUAUAGAUCAUGUUCAACGGAGCCUCGUCAAUUUGAAAGUUCUAUCAUCGAAAACAAAUCGGUAGUAAAACAGCUCGUUUACUACCGAUAGUAUUCUAGCACAACUCUCUCUCUCUCUCUCUCUAUAUAUAUAUAGGCUAGGAUUACUAUACUCUUAUGAGUAUAGACUCCCUUGUACUCAUAAAUUUUUAACCGUUGAUCGAUGGGAUAUGUGGUUAGGAUGAUGGUGGUCCCCACUUAGAAUAAUAGUGGCCCCCUAGGGUUGAGUGGGUAGUUGGUUGAAUAGUAUAAUCUAACGGAUAAAAUGAUCAAUAAAAUAAAUCUAAAGGCCAAAAACUUAUGAGUAUAAGGGAGCCAAUACUCAUAAAAGUAUAGUAGCCGAACUCUAUAUAUAUAUAUAUAUAUAUAUAUAUAUAUAUAUAUAUAUAUAUAUAUAUAUAGAACUAGGCUAAUAUUCUAUUAAUAGCACCAAGUCAUUAGUGCUACCAAGUUUUUGGCCAUUAGAUUAAGUGAUGUGCAGUUAGGAUGAUGUCGGCCCCCUAGGGUUGAGUAGGUGGUUGAUUGAAUAGUAUAAUCUAACGUGUGAAAAUGAUCGAAAAGAUAGAUCUAACGGCGAAAAACUUGGUAGCACCAAAUGCUUCGUGCUAUUAAUAGCAUAGUAUAUAGACCAUUAAAUUUUUUUUUCAGAUAAAUCAUAUAUAA